rnacentral:lncRNA from 1 species
UCCAGACACAAAAUCCAGACAACAAAGUGCAAACACUGGAUAUCAUAGCAUUUAUAAUACCUAACAUCUAAUUUUUUAAAAGUACUGUACUUGCAAAGAAGUAGGAAAAUAUGACCCACAACCAUGAAAAAAGUCAGCUAGUUCAAGGCAAAUGUGUAAAAGAGAAAAAUGGCUUUGGUGCUUUCUUCCUGUACAUUCAGUGGAAUCUCACAUCUCAAAGCUUUCUAAGCUUGCAACAUAGCCCCCAGCUCACAGUGCUCAGAGCUUCACACAGCAGUGCUCUCUCUUCUUUCUCUUCCUCUAUAUGCAACUUAACUCAUUUGAUCUGUCUUUAUAGUAUUCUUUUUUACUUAGUUUCUCUCUCCUGUAUAUAUCAAGUUUCAACUGGCUAAUCUUUUAAUCUAAUAUAUUAUAACGAGGAAAGGCUAAAGCUACAAAAACUUCCCCAUGUCUAUACUACGUGAGGCCUCUCUUUACCAGGCCAUGGUAUUACCAUCUUACUCUAAAUUGUAGAAACUUCACUUGAAUAGAGGAAGAGUAAUUGAUUAGAAAAGUUCACUUUGAAUGGAAUCUCAUGGAACCACCGAUGGAUAGGGUGGAUGCCUACUUUGAGUUUCAUUUCUGGGAGCCAAACCAAUCAUUAUUGUUGUUACUGGGGCACGAGAUCAGGGAUGGACAGGCUGUGAUGGUAAUGGGAAGCAAAAUUACCAAGUAUUGGCCAGAUUUUCUUAAUUUUCUCCUGCCUUAGAUUGGGACUGUGGUGCUUGAGACUGAUGUGGGGUGCACCCAGCAAGAAGAUACCAAGUAGCCCCAGAUGGAGGAUGAAGUGAGUAAUAGAUUCAAGGAGUUAGAGCCUGACAGGAAAACAUCAGUAUUUCUGAACAAAAAGAGUGGAAAAGUCUUCGAUAUUUGGAAGUGAGUUGUGGAUGAAGAAUACCAUUGCAUCACAACUGCAUUGUGUGGCUAAACUAGUGAUGUAGAGGUGGAUGCUGAUUCAGAUCUACUGCCAAUGAACGAACAGCCCUCUGUGUCCAGGAGCUGUCAACACCAUGUACCUCUGUGUGUGAUUUGUGGAUGAUUUGUGUGCCUCUUGCCAACAGAGUUCAUAAACUAAAGAUUAAUGAAAGGAAGAGGCAACCCGUUGGGGGCAAAGCGCUGGUAAAGCAGCAAGGUCUUUUGCUUGUUGGAGCUGGAAUAACCAGGAGGAUUCAUCAUUGUUUCAGCUGACUUUGGUGUCUGGCCAAGCCAGAGGCACUGACUGCAAGCACAUUUGGCUUCGUCUCCUCCUCUGCUACCCCUGGUGCCCAGCAAUCCUGCCACCACUGCAUAAGUUGUCGCCAGACUGAAAACCAGUAGUAGAACUCCUCCUUCUUCCUCCUUCUUUGCUAUUUUUAGAGAAAUCUGAAUAACAAGCUAU